AAUUCUCAACCCCUCCAGCUUUUGCGAGCUGUGACGGGGCUUGGAUGUUGGGGGUUUGCGGGCCUGUAGAGGUCGGCUCUCCUGAAAUGCAUUAGCGGAACCGUUUGCAGUCCCGUCACUAGUGUGAUAAUUAUCUACACUGUGAUGAUUGCUCUCUGGCUAGUUCAGCUACUAACUGUCCACUGUUGGACAACACUUAAUGAACU
rnacentral:misc_RNA from 1 species